UCCGUAGGCGGGCGAUUAAGUCAGAGGUGAAAUCCCACAGCUCAACUGUGGAACUGCCUUUGAUACUGGUUGUCUUGAGUUACAGUGAAGUAGAUGGAAUAUGUAGUGUAGCGGUGAAAUGCAUAGAUAUUACAUAGAAUACCGAUUGCGAAGGCAGUCUACUAACUGUGAACUGACGCUAAGGGACGAAAGCGUGGGGAGCGAACA
rnacentral:rRNA from 1 species